GAGCUGUUGCUUUAGCUCGGCUCAUUAAUUUUUAAUUUUUUUUUGCAGUGUGAGAUAUGUUUGUUUCUAUAGUUAAUUAGUAGUAUUUGCUCUAAUUCAGGUGUUGGUUUAUUUGAAUCAAAGGGAUAGGGAUAAGGCAAAGGAAAUAGAGCGAGAGAAGCAUACAAAUAGUUAAGAGAAGAGGGUAAGCUAUAAAGAUGGGGAGAAGGACAAGGGGAAAGAUAAAACUAGAGAGAAGGAAAGGGAGAUAAAUCUAUUAAAAGAAAGGUCAAGAGAUAGAGUCACUUGGGAUUUAUGGAGCAUUCUAUCAACAACUUUGAUUUGAAAAAGAUGCAUAUUGAAUUAAAAUUCAAUUCAUACCAUGGGGAAGACAAGUUUCAUCCUUACUUUUAUCUACUCAGCUUCUUUGUUCUUGAAUGCUGCAAUUACCUUUGUUGGAUACAAGAUGAGUGGUCAGGGUAGAGAAAAAGUAACGUAGUUUGCAAAGGAAGACAGUUCUUACUCCUUUGAAGAACCUAGCAUGGCUUUGAGCUUAUUAGUAAUGUGAUCAGUAAAUGGGACUGCAGUGUUAAUAAUGAUAAAUAAUAAAAUUAACAACAUCCUGUUUAUUUGUCAUCUACAUAUUUGUCUGUUGAUUUUUGCAUUUCAGAUACUUGAAUAAUUGAGUUUUUGUACAAGAUUUUGCCUUCUUUUUU